UUCUAGCCCCGAUUGAAGUGGAAAUCAUCUUUGGCAAAGUUUUUAACUUUUCCAAAGAUAUUGUAACGGAAAGCGGGAACAUGG
rnacentral:sRNA from 1 species